GCCUUCUUUCUGUGAAUUCUGAGAUUUAGCGUGUGUCUUUGGUAUUAGCUCCACUGAUUAGCAGUGUCUAUAGUAGGGUUCUAGGCGAGCACACUGAGUAGCAGUGUGUCGUCGGGUUCUGUGUUAGCGUAGGGAUUUUGUGUGUGUGUAUACUGCUUAGAUCCAGGUUGAUUAGCACCUGUAGACCAGCGUUCCUGUGAGUGGAUAUUGCGUAGAGCCAGGUGAUUAGCACCUGUAGACCCGCACCAGCUGUGUGUUUCCACAGUCCCGUUUUGUUUAUUGCUCGUUUCCACUUGAGUAGUGAGAUUUGUUUUUCUUUCUAUAGCGGGGUAACUCUCUUUUGGAGACCCUUUGUGUUGUAUUAUAGUGACAGAUUGACCCGUGUUGUGGGGCCAAUCUGUGUGACCAUCAUUUUGCCUAGUUUCAGUGACAAUAAAACCACCGGUAACAAAUAUACCAAAUCCAA